rnacentral:lncRNA from 1 species
UCUCAGUGCCCAGGGUUCUCUCAGUGUGCUCAGAGUCCCCUCAGUGCCCAGGGUCCUCUCAGUGCCCAGGGUCCUCUCAGUGUGCUCAGGGUCCUCUCAGUGUGCUCAGAGUCCCCUCAGUGCCCAGGGUCCCCUCAGUGCCCAGGGUCCUCUCAGUGCCCAGGGUCCUCUCAGUGUGCUCAGGGUCCUCUCAGUGUGCUCAGAGUCCCCUCGGUGCUCAACGUCCCCUCAGUGCCCCACUCAGGAUCCUCCAGUGUCCCCUCAUGAUCCCUCCAUGCUUCUCCGAGGGUCCCCUGAGUGCUACUCUCAGGGUCCCCUCACUGCCUCCUCACUGUCCCCUCACUGCCCCCUCACUGUCAGCUCAGGGUCCCCUCACUGUCAGCUCAGGGUCCCCUCACUGUCCCCUCAGGGUCUCCUCAGCGUUCCCCCGAGCUGUGCUGUCCCACCAAACCAAGCACAGCACAGGCAGUGUCAAGCCUAAUUGUCAUCUGGGAUAAAACUCAGAGCUCAUCUGAAAGUUUGUGUAAAGCUGUAUUAUGUCUCAUACUGAUCCUGAACUUGGCCUCUAGUCUGUUUUUCAGUGGAAGUUUUGCUUUGCUAACUUUGGUAAGAAAGCCUGCAAACACCAGAAGGUCUUCAGUUUGAUUUUCACUCUCAGCCAGCACUGCUGAUGAAGGGAGCAGUUUUCUUCUACCCGCUCGUAUCAGUGUAGGUGUUUGCGUGGCUGCAGAUCAGAACAGAUUGGGGAAUUGAUGUGGGUUCAAACCAACUGUUUGGGGUUGUUGGGGCUUUUUAAACCAGUCUAGUUUUAACCAGGUCACUGGUGUGCUUCACCACACAUGUUUGUGUUGGUAUAAGCAGGAGAGAUGAGAAGAUCUCUUCCUCUGUUGACAGUGCUGGUUCAAAAGAGAAAAGUACUUGUUUGGGGGUUUUUGAAAAGAGUUUUCACACUUAAAAUCUUGGCUGUGAUUGAGUCCAUGCAUUAAAGUUGUGUAAGGAAGAGAACAACAUUCUGCAUGCUGCACAGUCUUUUGCUCUUAUUCAUUCCUUUCCAGCCAAGUAAUGAUAUAGUUCUAAUACUACAGAGAGCGUGAUGGGAGUGUGACCUUUAGCCUUCAUUUCAUUUUUUGGCAGUAAUAUUCACACUUUGAAUAGCUCCCACAUAAAUGCAUGUGUAGGUUUUUUUCUGCCUUGCCACCCCUGUGCUCUCCAGCUCCUUAGAGUGAAGGAGUCUCACGGAGGUUGACACUAUUUGGUG